rnacentral:rRNA from 1 species
GACGAACGCUGGCGGCGUGCUUAACACAUGCAAGUCGAACGGAAAGGCCCGGCUUUUGUGGGGUGCUCGAGUGGCGAACGGGUGAGUAACACGUGAGUAACCUGCCCUUGACUUUGGGAUAACUUCAGGAAACUGGGGCGAAUACCGGAUAUGAGCACCUGCUGCACGGGGGGGGUUGGAAAGUUUCGGCGGUUGGGGAUGGACUCGCGGCUUAUCAGCUUGUUGGUGGGGUAGUGGAUUACCAAGGCUUUGACGGGUAGCCGGCCUGAGAGGGUGACCGGCCACAUUGGGCCUGAGAUGCGGCCCAGACUCCUACGGGAGGCAUCAGUGGGGAAUAUUCCACAAUGGGCGGAAGCCUGAUGCAGCAACGCCGCGUGCGGGAUGACGGCCUUCGGGUUGUAAACCGCUUUCGCCUGUGACGAAGCGUGAGUGACGGUAAUGGGUAAAGAAGCACCGGCUAACUACGUG